AUACCCAAUGUGCCGAAAGGUGAAAGAUUUAUCGUCUGAAGAUGGGCUCGCGUCUGAUUAGCUAGAUGGUGGGGUAAGAGCCUACCAUGGCAACGAUCAGUAGCUGGUCUGAGAGGAUGAGCAGCCACACUGGGACUGAGACACGGCCCAGACUCCUACGGGAGGCAGCAGUGGGGAAUUUUCCGCAAUGGGCGAAAGCCUGACGGAGCAAUACCGCGUGAGGGAGGAAGGUCCUUGGAUUGUAAACCUCUUUUAUCAGGGAAGAAGUUCUGACGGUACCUGAUGAAUAAGCAUCGGCUAACUCCGUGCCAGCAGCCGCGGUAAUACGGAGGAUGCAAGCGUUAUCCGGAAUUAUUGGGCGUAAAGCGUCCGUAGGUGGUUAUGCAAGUCUGCCGUUAAAGAAUGGAGCUUAACUCCAUAGGAGCGGUGGAAACUGCAAGACUAGAGUACAGUAGGGGUAGCAGGAAUUCCCAGUGUAGCGGUGAAAUGCGUAGAUAUUGGGAAGAACAUCGGUGGCGAAAGCGUGCUACUGGGCUGAAACUGACACUGAGGGACGAAAGCUAGGGUAGCGAAAGGGAUUAGAU
rnacentral:rRNA from 1 species